rnacentral:rRNA from 1 species
UACGAAGGGGGCUAGCGUUGUUCGGAAUCACUGGGCGUAAAGGGCGCGUAGGCGGCUUUGUAAGUCGGGGGUGAAAGCCUGUGGCUCAACCACAGAAUUGCCUUCGAUACUGCAUGGCUUGAGACCGGAAGAGGUAAGUGGAACUGCGAGUGUAGAGGUGAAAUUCGUAGAUAUUCGCAAGAACACCAGUGGCGAAGGCGGCUUACUGGUCCGGUUCUGACGCUGAGGCACGAAAGCGUGGGGAGCAAACAGG